UGACAGAGGACGUGUGUGAGAACUAUGAUGAUGCAGUUACUGCUGAAACAAACCCAAACAUCAUCACAGAAGAUGAAGAUGAAGAUGAUGAUGAUGAUGUGAUCAGUGAGGAACAGGAUGUAGGAGAGACAGGAAAAAGCUGAAUUGAUAAAGAUCCUUUUUUACACAUGAUGAAAAAUCUUCUUAAACACGUUCCUACACGGUGCCUCAUUGACUGGAUUCUGAAGGUGUUCCAUCACAAUGACUACAAUCCAAACCAUCUAUUCAAGAGCUCAAUGUAUUUCUUUUCCAGAAUGUGAUGAGGUGGAGGAGAAAUCUCAGAAAAACAGGGACCAUGUGACUGAGACACGCCACCAAAGGCCUUUUCUCAGGAAAUUACAUUUCAACUUUUACAAAGACAAAAAAUGAUUUGAUUCUACUUCCAAUAAUGUCAUGUUUUCUGAAUGGUGUUGAUUCUCCCCCUAGUUAUUAGUAAAUAGAGUAGUGAGAGUUCAAUCCCCUUUCAUAUGACUUCAUGCAAAAUCUCCAGCUUUUCCUUUCCUACACUUUUAAUGCUAUAAGUCAACUUCAAUAUCACUGUCACACCACAACUCAUUUAUCACAACAAUUCUUUCAUCAAAACUGCUCUGAUUUUCAUCUUCAUGUUUUCCAUUCAUCAACUUCUUAUUCAGUGUGUUUAGAAAUGUGUUAGUGACUAUAAACCACUUCACAACUAACAAAAAGCUUUUUAUUCCUUAAAACUAUACUUUUUUAUUCAGUUCAAACAAAGACACAUUUACAUUUCUGUUCAAUUCUGUGUUUUUAACUCCAAACUAUAGAAAUU